GACGAACGCUGGCGGCGUGCUUAACACAUGCAAGUCGAGCGGAAAGGCCCUUCGGGGUACUCGAGCGGCGAACGGGUGAGUAACACGUGAGUAACCUGCCCCAGACUUUGGGAUAACCCUCGGAAACGGGGGCUAAUACCGGAUACGACACAGCUUCGCAUGGGGUCUGUGUGGAAAGUUUUUCGGUUUGGGAUGGGCUCGCGGCCUAUCAGCUUGUUGGUGGGGUGAUGGCCUACCAAGGCGACGACGGGUAGCCGGCCUGAGAGGGCGACCGGCCACACUGGGACUGAGACACGGCCCAGACUCCUACGGGAGGCAGCAGUGGGGAAUAUUGCACAAUGGGCGGAAGCCUGAUGCAGCGACGCCGCGUGAGGGAUGACGGCCUUCGGGUUGUAAACCUCUUUCAGCAGGGACGAAGCGUAAGUGGCGGUACCUGCAGAAGAAGCGCCGGCCAACUACGUG
rnacentral:rRNA from 1 species